AACGAACGCUGGCGGCAUGCCUAACACAUGCAAGUCGAACGAGACCUUCGUGUCUAGUGGCGCACGGGUGCGUAACGCGUGGGAACCUGCCCUUAGGUUCGGAAUAACUCCCCGAAAGGGGUGCUAAUACCGGAUAAUGUCUUCGGACCAAAGAUUUAUCGCCUUUGGAUGGGCCCGCGUUGGAUUAGCUAGUUGGUAGGGUAAAAGCCUACCAAGGCGACGAUCCAUAGCUGGUCUGAGAGGAUGAUCAGCCACACUGGGACUGAGACACGGCCCAGACUCCUACGGGAGGCAGCAGUGGGGAAUAUUGGACAAUGGGCGAAAGCCUGAUCCAGCAAUGCCGCGUGAGUGAUGAAGGUCUUAGGGUUGUAAAGCUCUUUUACCCGGGAUGAUAAUGACAGUACCGGGAGAAUAAGCUCCGGCUAACUCCGUG
rnacentral:rRNA from 1 species